ACGACAAAAUCAUGCUUUUAACAACGGUCCCCGUACGAACACUGAAAUUAAGCAAUGACGAACCUUGUCACUACCUAGAUGGGUGACCUCUUGGGAAUACCAGGUGAUGCAAG